UACGAAGGGGGCUAGCGUUGUUCGGAAUUACUGGGCGUAAAGCGUGCGUAGGCGGUUCGUUAAGUCUGUUGUGAAAGCCCCGGGCUCAACCUGGGAAUGGCAAUGGAUACUGGCGAGCUAGAGUGUGUCAGAGGGAUGGUGGAAUUCCCGGUGUAGCGGUGAAAUGCGUAGAGAUCGGGAGGAACAUCAGUGGCGAAGGCGGCCAUCUGGGACAACACUGACGCUGAGGCACGAAAGCGUGGGGAGCAAACAGGG
rnacentral:rRNA from 1 species